CCCCUCCAAAUUUUACGUUUUGGAAAGUAAAAAAGCGUAUCAAGGUCUCCGUAGGUGAACCUGCGGAGGGAUCAUUACAGAGUUAUCUAACUCCCAAAACCAUGUGAACUUACCACUGUUGCCUCGGUGGAAGGCGCUGGAAACAGCGCUGGAAGCCGGUGGACAUCUAAACUCUUGUUAAUUUUUGGCAUUCUGAAUCAUAACUAAGAAAUAAGUUAAAACUUUCAACAACGGAUCUCUUGGUUCUGGCAUCGAUGAAGAACGCAGCGAAAUGCGAUAAGUAAUGUGAAUUGCAGAAUUCAGUGAAUCAUCGAAUCUUUGAACGCACAUUGCGCCCAUUAGUAUUCUAGUGGGCAUGCCUGUUCGAGCGUCAUUUCAACCCUUAAGCCUAGCUUAGUGUUGGGAGACUGCCUAAUACGCAGCUCCUCAAAACCAGUGGCAGAGUUUUUACGUACUCUGAGCGCAGUAAUUCUAUUCUCGCUUCUGAAAACGUCUAGACGAUAGCCAGAAACCGCAUGCUUCGGCAGCACUUUUUAAUGGUUGACCUCGGAUCAGGUAGGAAUACCCGCUGAACUUAAAAAUAUCAUAGGCCCGGAGGAAACUUUAUUUUCUUGG
rnacentral:rRNA from 1 species